AUGGUGGUGUAAAUUGGGGAGGUGUUUGAGGCUUCUGAUGUUGAGAUGGUGGUUGCUGUGCCGGUAGUGACCGAGAAGAGGAUUCAUCGGGAGGUGGGUCCAGAGUAGAGUUGCUGGGUUGAGGAGGCGGCGGCGGUGGUGGUGAAGACGACGAGUUUUCAGAUGGUGAUUCGCGUGGAAGUGGGACAAACGUGCUAUUUUCCGUAAGUGGAGAUGGAGGUGGAGGUGGAGAUUGGUUUGGUGUGGACUCUGAAUCUGAGUCAUCUGGAGGUGUUGUGUUUGAAGUUGGAGGAGAUAAAUCAGUGUCCGAUGGAGGAGAAGUUCUGGGUGCCGAAGCCAUUUAAAUUGCUCAAAGUCCUCCCAGAGAACUCCACGCUCCUUAUUAAAUUGCUUGUGACAAAAAAUAACCAAAUCAUCAGCAUCAUCAUUCAUCAAUGUAAAAAUUAGUAGAAAAGGAGUAAAGAAUCUAGAAUAUACCUCCGUGGAGUGGACCUGGUCGGAAAUUGGCAAUGGCGUCCGGACCCAAAAUCUA
rnacentral:lncRNA from 1 species